rnacentral:lncRNA from 1 species
GUGAGGGAACAGCCUUCGUACUUUCCCAUCUUGUAACAGGGAUCAACAGCUACAACCAUAACGCUAGCAAGGGCAUUGCUGCAACAGUUGGUGAUGUUUGAAUAAGGUCUGUGAUGCCAUAAUAGUAUAGCAUCCAUGUUAAUGUUGCUGAUUCUGAUAACUGGACUGGAGAGGCUGACCCUGUUCUUAAGAAACACAUGAACUAAUUGGGGAUGAAGAAGCCUCACUUCUGCAGCUCACUCUCAAAUGGCUCAGAGUUUUUUAAAGAGUAUGUAUUUAGAAAGACAGAAUAAUAAAGCAAAUCUGGCAAAAGAUUAACAACUGAUGAAUGGGAUAACAGGUAUGGAAAGGCUGCACUAUCCUCCCAACUUCUCAGUCAGUUUGGAAUGAUUUCAAAAUAAGAAUUACUAGAAGACCCUAAAAAUGUUUGCGGUACAUUCUUCCAUAGUAUAGUUUGAAUCUUGUUCAAUAAGAAUACAUUUAUGUUACUAGAGUAUGAGGCGGUUUUAGUUAUAAAAUAGGCACAGUACAUAAAAACCUCUCAUAAACUGUAAGUCAUAAGCUGUUAAAUAUUUAUCAUAUUUGUCAUUCUAGUCACUAUUGUUUCUGUUAUUAUUGACAUUGUUAGUAUUUCCAGGAGUUUUUCAAUUGCAGAGAGCCGCCUGCAGGAGAAAGGAGCAGCGACCCCACAAGAAACUGACCCAGACUUGCCCAUGAGUGUCCAGAGUCUCCAGCAGAGGUGCAGUCGGCUGUUGGCUUCAGGGUGACAUGGAAAAAGCGUGAAGUUUAAUAAUUCUGGAGACUGGAUGGGGAAAAUACAAUAAAUCGGCCUAUGCAGACCACCUCCUCCAGCCCAUUGGGAUCUACUCAGAGGCAGGGUCACAGCACUGGCAGCCGAGCAGCCUGUGGGCCAGAGCGGGAGCUGGGCUACGUCCAUGCAUGUGUGGAACUCAUCUACUGUGUUGGGGGGAGCAGGGAGAAGGGACUGCAAACUCAGAUGGGAAAGGCAUAGAGACACGUCCGGACACACAGCAAGCAGAGCGGCUGCUCUGGGAAAUCUGAGGCGGAGGAGACACGAGAGGGGAAGGACAGUCUGACUGUGUGUGCUUUUGUAUUCUCGGCAUCUUUCCCAAUGAACUGGUAGCUUUAGAAUCCAGUGUCAUCAUCAGCUCUGCAGUGUUAGCCACCAGAAAUGCCAGCAAGAGAAAACCGUCCUUGUGGAAACAGGGCCAGUCCCUCUGAGAUACUCC